rnacentral:lncRNA from 1 species
ACACCCGCAACCGCCCCCUUUAUCAGGCUCUCACACUCUGGGCCACCACUCCCCUGCCCUAAUCACCCCAGGGCCAGGUGCCAGACAACUCAGGGCGGAUCCAUAUCCCACAGCCUACUGACAAACCAGCCAACCCUAAACCUGCUUCCCCUGCCUUGCCCAUUCCUUACCAUAGAAAACCACAAUAAAGCCUCUAGCCCGUUUCCCCUCACUCCCUCUGCCUCCUGAACAACCCUGAUGCUUCCCUGUGUGGUCCCUUGUGGCAUAGAGUGCCCCCUCUUCUCAGGAACUAUGGUGAUGGCCAGGGUGCACAAGACCCCGGUGAAGGAUGGGAAAAAGAGCAAGAAGAUGAAGAAAGUCAUCAUCUGUGAGGCCCGCCAGGCUUUGCUCGGAGGCUGGAAAUUCAUCAUCAGGCUGAUCUGAAGAGAGAGAGGCAGCCACCUCCCAUCUGCAGCCGGAGCAGCGGCAGAGGGACCCCAGCCAGGCCUGGCUUCCUGACACCUUUGCAGAGCCCCCUUCCCCAGCUUUAAGCGCCACCAGGUCACAGGUGACUGAACAAAGCUGAUUGAUGGCAAUGUCGGACUGACUCACAUUUUUGGAGUAGAACAUGAUGAAAAGCAUAAUCAUUUGGAUAAAGGGCAGCAGGGGGCAGAAGAAGAUGCCAAUCCUGUGAGGGAGAGAGGAGACGGGAUUUCACCAUGUUAGCCAGGAUGGUCUCGAUCUCCUGACCUCGUGAUCCACCCGCCUCGGCCUCCCAAAGUGCUGGGAUUACAGGCGUGAGCCACCACACCCAGCUAAUGUGUGUCACUUCUAAGCUGGAGCACUUAAUGCCCCUGUGAGACUCUCCAGAACUCCUCAUCUUCCCUUUGGAAUGGCGAUCAACGAUAUUCAAGAUGGCUGCUUCUCUCUGAGCCUGGAUCCCUCAGUAACUAACAUAAGAAGGUCCCUCCUGCUAAUCCACACUGUGUAUAUAACACGAGCAAGAAAUAAACCUUUGUGUUCGAAGCCACUGAGAUCUGGGGGGUUGUUACUGCAGUAUAACCUAACUUAUUCUGACUGAUACAUUCUCUUUUGUUGCAUCUCCAAAUGAUCUGAUUUCACUUCCCAUUAUAAUGA